rnacentral:rRNA from 1 species
GACGAACGCUGGCGGCGUGCUUAACACGUGCAAGUCGAACGGUGAAGCGCCUUCCUUUUUGGUGGGUGUGGAUGAGUGGCGAACGGGUGAGUAACACGUGAGUAACCUGCCCCCUUCUUCUGGAUAACCGCAUGAAAGUGUGGCUAAUACGGGAUAUUCUGGGUCUGUCGCAUGAUGGGUCUGGGAAAGAUAUUGUUUCGGUGGGGGAUGGGCUCGCGGCCUAUCAGCUUGUUGGUGGGGUGAUGGCCUACCAAGGCGGUGACGGGUAGCCGGCCUGAGAGGGUGGACGGUCACACUGGGACUGAGACACGGCCCAGACUCCUACGGGAGGCAGCAGUGGGGAAUAUUGCACAAUGGGCGCAAGCCUGAUGCAGCGACGCCGCGGGAGGGAUGGAGGCCUUCGGGUUGUGAACCUCUUUCGCCAGUGAAGCAGGCCUGCCUCGUUUGUGGGUGGGUUGACGGUAGCUGGAUAAGAAGCGCCGGCUAACUACGUG